rnacentral:rRNA from 1 species
CGCGUAGGCGGCUUAACAAGUCACUCGUGAAAUCUCCGGGCUUAACUCGGAACGGCCAAGUGAAACUGUUAUGCUAGAGUGCAGAAGGGGCAAUCGGAAUUCUUGGUGUAGCGGUGAAAUGCGUAGAUAUCAAGAGGAACACCUGAGGUGAAGACGGGUUGCUGGGCUGACACUGACGCUGAGGCGCGAAAGCUAGGGAGCAAACG